ACUUCAGUUAAAAAAGAGGUUUCCACUGUUAAAAUGUUUUGCAUUGACAGCUCAUGCCUCAGUGCUCAGUGAGUGUUUAUAGUCCUUUCCCUACCGUUUGAAAAGGUCCAAGAAUUGUUCUCUCUAAAUCACUAGCCAAUAUGAUUCUCUUCAUCUGGGCAUUUUACUGCAUCCAAGGUUCUUUUGGGCAGGUUGUUGUGACCCAGUCUGAGGAUAAAUCAGUUCAGCUCGGUCAAACAGUCUCCAUUGAUUGCAAGUUCAACACUGUGGUUUAUAGGCAUCCAACAGGCAGCCCAUCUAAAGAUUACUACAUCUUCUGGUAUCUUCAGAGGCCAGAUGAACCCCCUAAACUCCUCAUAUAUUUUACAACAAUGAAGCCUUCAAGUGCACCAUCUAGAAUGAGUGGAGGAGGCAGUUUUCACUCUGGAGGAAAUGGUCUUGAUUUCACUCUGACUGUAAACGAUGUCCAGAGUAAUGAUGCUGGAGAUUAUUAUUGUCUGAGUUACCACGAGACCAGUAGUAAAGGAGUGCUCACACAGUGAAAACAUUCUGUACAAAAACAUCCCCACUGACAAGGCUUCAGAGACCUGUUGACAGAACA